GACACAAUUCUCUGUAUGUGCACUUGCCAUGACUUUAUUUUUGAAUAUUUCUGUGUGCAUAUGGUAGGGAAAACAUUGUUGUAUACUACAAAUUCAGUGUUUUGCUUAUAGGUUGGAGACUACAUGAGAUUUUGACAGAUGGCGGGAAACCCUCAUCAACUGGAGAUCAGCCGGUAGAGGAAUGUCUGCGACUAAGCCGAGGGCCACUGCAUAAGGGUUAUUGAUGGCAAAACAGGUAGAGGAAUGUCUGCGACUAAGCCGAGGGCCACUGCAUAAGGGUUAUUGAUGGCAAAACAGGUUGGAGACUACAUGAGAUUUUGGCAGAUGGCGGGAAACCCUCAUCAACUGGAGAUCAGCCGGUAGAGGAAUGUCUGCGACUAAGCCGAGGGCCACUGCAUAAGGGUUAUUGAUGGCAAAACAGGUUGGAGACUACAUGAGAUUUUGGCAGAUGGCGGGAAACCCUCAUCAACUGGAGAUCAGCCGGUAGAGGAAUGUCUGCGACUAAGCCGAGGGCCACUGCAUAAGGGUUAUUGAUGGCAAAACAGGUUGGAGACUACAUGAGAUUUUGACAGAUGGCGGGAAACCCUCAUCAACUGGAGAUCAGCCGGUAGAGGAAUGUCUGCGACUAAGCCGAGGGCCACUGCAUAAGGGUUAUUGAUGGCAAAACAGGUUGGAGACUACAUGAGAUUUUGACAGAUGGCGGGAAACCCUCAUCAACUGGAGAUCAGCCGGUAGAGGAAUGUCUGCGACUAAGCCGAGGGCCACUGCAUAAGGGUUAUUGAUGGCAAAACAGGUUGGAGACUACAUGAGAUUUUGACAGAUGGCGGGAAACCCUCAUCAACUGGAGAUCAGCCGGUAGAGGAAUGUCUGCGACUAAGCCGAGGGCCACUGCAUAAGGGUUAUUGAUGGCAAAACAGGUUGGAGACUACAUGAGAUUUUGACAGAUGGCGGGAAACCCUCAUCAACUGGAGAUCAGCCGGUAGAGGAAUGUCUGCGACUAAGCCGAGGGCCACUGCAUAAGGGUUAUUGAUGGCAAAACAGGUUGGAGACUACAUGAGAUUUUGACAGAUGGCGGGAAACCCUCAUCAACUGGAGAUCAGCCGGUUA